UUCCUGGCUUGAGAACAUGCUUCUACAAAACAAACCAAGCAACCCUGAAAUGCAGAUUGGGUUAAGGAAGAUACAGACUGGGCCAAAAUCAUCUAGCAAGUUUCUAUGACUGAGGUUUAAGAAGUCCAACAUCAACUCAUUGCACCAAAU